CAUGAAGCCGGAAUCGCUAGUAAUCGCGGAUCAGAAUGCCGCGGUGAAUACGUUCCCGGGUCUUGUACACACCGCCCGUCACACCAUGGGAGUCGGGAAUGCCCGAAGUCAGUGGCCCAACCGGAAGGGGGGAGCUGCCGAAGGCAGGCCCGGUGACUGGGGUGAAGUCGUAACAAGGUAAC
rnacentral:rRNA from 1 species